CCAGCUUGUAAACAGAGGGCAUCUAGACUCGCCUCCCUAGCUGACCUCCCACUUCACCCACAGUGGUUGACAUGCGUGGCAGCUUCAGUUUGGCCUGAAAACUGAAGCUCCAGAGGUUACAUAACCUUCCCACCUUGUGACCCAGUCACCAAGUGACCGAACCAGAAAUAAAACCGCAUUUGGCUUCCUGUGCUCUUUCUGUUGCCGCGUGUUUGCUGAUCCAGGCAGGUGGAGCGCAUGACACUUGAAAGGAGCUUGGAGAAGACUGCAGGAGGUCAGGACACCAGCCAGAGCUCUGGCAAGAAACAGAACGCAGCCCAAGUUGUUCGGGCGAAGAGAGGAGUAAAGGCACGUGGGCGCAGCUGUGCGCAGGAUCAGCAGAAGCAUCGGGGAUGGUCGGACACGCAGAGCCCAGCAGCGGACAGGAACCAGGGCUGUCCCGGGGGGAUGCUCGUGGGACCUAGAGCCACAGCGGACAGGCCACCAGCCUCACCCGUGACCUGGAGGCACAGCCCUGCCGGGUGCGGCUGCGCAGCAGGGGGAGGGCAGACAACGGUAAUCCGACCUCUCCUCUCACUGCCCAUCUGCCCCUGCCGCCUACCAGCUGUGCCCGCUGGGACCCCCGUGCCUGCUGGAAACCCGCUGUCAGGGAGCCUGGAAAGGCGGGAGGCGGGGAUCAGAGCCUCCCAGACCACGGAGAGGGCGGACGCGUCCGUGGAGAGAAGGGCGCUGAGGCACACGCUGGGCGGCCCCGCCCGGCCAUGUCUGGUGUCACGGGUGGGGGCGCGGCUCUCCAACCCCUACCCCCGCCUCCUUCGCCCUCUGUUUUCUGCCUCAGUCAGCCAGAGGCAGGCCCUGACGGAGACCCUGGGGCAGGAGGCUAGAAGCAGGGCGUCUGCCCACUCUCCAGCUGCCUCGGGCACGGUCUGCAGAAGCCGCUGCCUCUCCUGUGGGCCCUGCUCUCGCAGCAAGAACCACCACGGCCCCAGUUUCUUCCUGG
ensembl:lncRNA